AGUUACCAUCUGUCAUCAUACAGUUACUACACUGAGUAUAUUCUCUAUGCUGAACUUCUCAUCCCUGUGACUUAUUUCGUAACUGCAGGAGAAUGAGGGAGAACAGAAGAUGGAAAUACGGUGUAGUAUUGAAGAGCUGAAUAAGAGCACAAUGACUCAUGAUGCCAUCAACUCUACACUGAAGAACCAUGGAACUCAUCAAUUUUAUAAUUCAUGCUGGACCAUGAAGUUUGGUUCCCUUCUAUGUAGAUCAGUGAAUUAAAACCUCAUGCUCUUCAAAAUAUGAA